rnacentral:rRNA from 1 species
CCUACGGGCGGCAGCAGUGGGGAAUAUUGGACAAUGGGGGCAACCCUCAUCCAGCCAUGCCGCGUGUGUGAAGAAGGCCCUCGGGUUGUAAAGCACUUUCAGUGAGGAAGAACGCCUGGUGGUUAAUACCCAUCAGGAAAGACAUCACUCACAGAAGAAGCACCGGCUAACUCCGUGCCAGCAGCCGCGGUAAUACGGAGGGUGCGAGCGUUAAUCGGAAUUACUGGGCGUAAAGCGCGCGUAGGUGGCUUGAUAAGCCGGUUGUGAAAGCCCCGGGCUCAACCUGGGAACGGCAUCCGGAACUGUCAAGCUAGAGUGCAGGAGAGGAAGGUAGAAUUCCCGGUGUAGCGGUGAAAUGCGUAGAGAUCGGGAGGAAUACCAGUGGCGAAGGCGGCCUUCUGGACUGACACUGACACUGAGGUGCGAAAGCGUGGGUAGCAAACAGGAUUAGAUACCCUUGUAGUC